UCCGAAUUAGUUUAGUGGCUAUGACGGCGCCUUGUCAGUGUUCUCCGCGCAGAAAAACGGCGCAGACCCGGGUUCAAUUCCCGGAUUCGGAG
rnacentral:tRNA from 2 species